ACACACACACACACACACACACGCGCACACACUCCUCACUCAGCAAUAGUCUACACACCCCAUUAGCCCUGCCUAGGAAUGGAUGGGGAGGGAAAGUCUCCGAGCCAGACCGUCGGAGGGUGUGUGUGUGUGUGUGUGUGUGUGUGUGUGUGUGU
rnacentral:miRNA from 1 species